CAAGUAGCCGGGAUUACAGGCGUCUGCCACCACGCCUGACUAAUUUUUUUCUAUUUUUAGCAGAGACAGGGUUUCACUACCUUGCCCAGCCUGGUCUUGCACUCCUGACCUCAUGAUCCACCCGCCUCGGUCUCACAAAGUGCUGGGAUGACAGGCGUGAGCCACCGUGCCCAGACGCUUACUUCUUUUUUCACUUAGUUUUACAUUACAAGCGUUUACUUACAUACUUUCUUACUUCCUUACGUGGGACUACAGGCAUGCACCACCACACCGGUUAACUUUUAUAAUGUUUGUCAUGCUUUCCGUACGUACGUACGUACGUACGUACGUAUGUAUGUAUGUAUGUAUGUACGUGACAUGGGGUUCGAGGUUCUAUCACGUUGCCCAGGCUGGUCUCCAACUCCUGUUCUCAAUCACUCCGCCUGCCUCGGCCACCCACACUGCUGCUAUUACAGGCGUGAGCCAUUGCGCCUAGCUCAUUCUAUAUUUGCUCCUCUCUCUCUCUCUCUCUCUCUCUCUCUCUCUCUCUCUCUCUCUCUCCCCCCCCCUCCCCCCCAUUCAUCUUCUCAGUAGGGAUGUGGUCUUGCUUUCUGGUCCACGCUCUGGGCACAUACAAUCUCUUUUUAAACGUCUAUUAUUAUUACUAUUACUAUUACUAUUAUUAUUAUUAUUAUUAUUAUUAUUAUUAUUAUUGCAGGUAUCGUCUCACAUAUCGAGAUGAUCUCAAACUUCUGGGGGGGCUCCAGCGAUCAUACCACAUCGGCCUCCCAGACUGCUGUGAUGACACGCGUGGGCAAGCCCGGGCUCCCACCGCAGCCACCGCACGCCGUGGGAUUUCCAUGGGAGAGGUAUGGGAGAGGACUGACGCGGCUUCCAGAUCUAUAUCCUGCCAGACGUGUCUGACUCAGCGUCCACCACAGGCUGCCUGCCACCUUCCAGGGAGCUCUGAGGCGGAUGCCCCCCUCACGUCCUGCCACCCUCCCCAGGCUGGCCUGUGCCGGCCGACCCCAGGGGAAUGGCGUGGACGCUGCUUUCGAAUGCUCCAGCGAAGACUUCUACCAGAUGGCCCGGGUGGGCCGGAUGGGACGAGACUGGAGCACCCCGGACCGUGCUGUUCUUAGGGGGUGGGUUGACAUACGGUGUGGACUGGCAGACCCAGCAUUCUAAAGGGUGUCCAGGUAUCAAAAUGUCACAUGCCAUGCUCUCCUUCCUGUCAGCCUGCCUUCAGCUUCCUCCGGCCUGAAGACAACUUCCCAUCAGAGCCUCUUUUCUUCCCUUUCUCCACCACAGAGAUGACACGCGUGAGAGGGAGAAACAGCUCAACAGAUACUGCUUAUCUUCCUCUGUGCAACCCUCAGUCAUCUACAGACACACAGGUGACUAGACAGGGACCCGAAUCAAACACCAUUUCCGGGUCCUCGUGUUGGGAUUGGUCUCUCUCUCUCUCUCUCUCUCUCUCUCUCUCUCUCUCUCUCACACACACACACACACACACACACACACACACACACCCCACACACACUUUCCACAUCUAGUUCACAAACCACACUAAUUUACCCCCUUAAGAGCAUGCAGGCUGAGUAAACCGCACCCCACCCUCCCUCCACCCGGCGGCUGAGGAAACCCCUUCUCUACCAUUUAUUAACAAGAUUAUCUGGGUG
rnacentral:lncRNA from 1 species